UAGAAAAUAGUAAAAAUUAAAGAAAAACCCUUGAAUGUGUAGGUGUCUCCAAACUUUUGACUGGUACUUCAUAUUUCAUGGUGAAGAGAUGUUGAAUGUUCCUGAAUGAUGCGCCAUGAUCAAUUUUUGACAAUAUGACCGAGCCGCGCAGAUUACCAUUCGAUUUGAGUAGCCCGGGCUAGCGGUUCAACCCGGGCAGGUUAAUCCAAUUCUCUCAGUCAGAAAUCGCAAAAAAGUCGUCCAUCACCAUAUGGUAACCGCCCUCUGGCCACCAUAAUCCUAACUUUUUCAACUAUUCGUUCCGUUUCCGUUAAAUUCAACGUUGCACCCCUUUCUGUCUACACUACAGUACGUGAUUCAAUGAAGCAACGUUGGCACACCAGGGGUGUAUAUCUUACGCUGAUUCUGUUGCAAAACGUUUCUUAGACGGAAGCAAACGGAACAAAACGGAAAGGAAUCUACCUGAAUUUGUUUAAUAUAAAUUCAAAUGUUGCAUCUGUUUGCACUAAUGAUUACUCCCCAAAGUUGCGGCCAGGACGCUCGUUCUCCUUUGCUGAACGGAAGAUUUCUUCCCGAUACUCUGCUAUAGUCUUCUCUACGGCCCCGAAUAUCUCCACAGCAGCCGCCGACAAACGCUCGGUGGGAUGGACCGGAAACCCAGUGACAACACUUGGGUCUGUAGCUGCCCUUUUCCGGUGGGAAAAAGAAAAGGCCCUGUAUUUACCAGAAAGGGUAGCUCAUCCACCAUGGCAGAAGAUGAAGAUCCAGACUGUUGAUUGGGAAACAAGAACAAACAAUAAGGCAUGAGGAUUGGGUGUUGAGUAUGAGAAACAAUUUGUUUUCUGUCCAGAUACAUAUGGUGAUACAGCAUUGAAAAAUACCCACCACUGACCAUGUCUCUUUGUUUUCCAGUCCAACAGGAAUGGAUCCCUCAGUCCAUCCAGUGCAUGGACAUCCCGUGCCAGUGUGAUCCGGUUGUGGAGACUACAGCAGGACAAGCCUGUAGACAGACAGACAUGAUAUGCGGAACAUCAGGCUCACCCCACGAGAAGCAGUGCAUGGUCAACGCCGCCCUCAGCAAGGAGAUCUGCUGGAAGUGAUGUACUUUCUCGCUCUGGUGGUAAGACAUAAUUUAAACAUCACAGAUAUAAAUUCCCACUGUGCCCAUGAUGAAAUGCAACUGUGAAUUGUGCUGUACUACUGAAUGAAACAGGAAAUGCACUCAGACCAGCCUUUGUAAUUGAACUUACGUUAACUACAAUACUUUAGUUGGCUGCUUUGAGCAAAACUUGUACGGUGCAUUCAAAGUAUUCCUACCCCUUGACUUUUUCCACAUUUUGUUAUGUUACAGCCAUACUCUAUAAUGGAUUAAAUUGUCCCCCCCCCCUGAAUCUCCACACAAUAGCCCAUAAUGACAAAGCAAAAACAGGUUUGUUUAAAAUGUUGAAAUAUCACAUUUACAUAAGUAUUCAGACCCAUUAUUCAGGACUUUGCUGAAGCACCUUUGGCAGCGAUUACAUCCUCGAGUUAUCUUGGGUAUGAAGCUUGGCACACCUGUAUUUAGGGAGAUUCUCCUAUUCUUCUCUGCUGAUCCUCUCAAGCUCUCAGGUAAUGGAUGGAGAGAGUCACUGCACAGCUAUUUUCAGGACUCUCCAGAGAUGUUUGAUCGGGUUCAAAUCCGGGCUCUGGCUGGGCCACUCAAGGACAUUCGGGCUGAGGUCCUGAUGGAAGGUGAACCGUCACCCCAGUCUGAGGUCCUGAGCACUCCGGAGCAGGUUUUUAUCAAGGAUGUCUCUGUACUUUACUUCAUUCAUCUUCCCCUCGAUCCUGACUAGUCUCCCAGUUACUGCCGCUGAAACACAUGCCCACAGCAUGAUGCUGCCACCACCAUGCUUCACCGUAGGGAUGGUGCCAGGUUUCCUCCAGAUGUGACACUUGGCAUUCAGGCCAAAGAGUUCAAUCUUGGUUUCAUCAGACCAGAGAAUCUUGUUUCUCAUGGUCUGAGAGUCCUAUAGGUGCCUUUUGGCAAACUUCAAGCAGGCUGUCGUGUGCCUUUUACUGAGGAGUGGCUUCUGUCUGGCCACAUAAAGGCAUGAUUGGUGGAGUGCUGCAGAGAUGGUUGUCCUUCCUGAAGAUUUUCCCAUCUCCACAGAGGAACUCUGGAGCGCUGUCAGAGUGACUAUUGGCUUCUUGGUUACCUCCCUGACAAGGCCCUUCUCCCCCAUUUUCUCAGUUUGGCCAGGCAGCCAGCUCUAGGAAGAGUCUUGGUGGUUUCAAACUUCUUCCAUUUAAGAAUAAUGGAGGCCACUAUGUUCAAUGCUGCAGAACGUUUUUGGCACCCUUCCCCAGAUCUGUGCCUCGACUCGUCUUGGAGCUCUACGGACAAUUCCUUCAACCUCACGGCUUGGUUUUUCCUCCGACAUGCACUGUCAACUGUGUCCAAUCAAUUGAAUUUACCACAGGUGGACUCCAAUCAAGUUGUAGAAACAUCUCAAGGAUGAUCAAUGGAAACAAGAUGCAGCUGAGCUCAAUUUUGAGUCUCAUAGCAAAGGGUGUGAAUACUUAUGUAAAUAAGGUAUUUAUGUUUUAUUUUUAAAAUAAAUUUACAUAAGUGUUUUCGAAUUGUCAUUAUCAGGUAUUGUGUGUAGAUUGAGGAGGAAAAAUGUGAUUUAAUCAAUUUUAGAGAAAGGCUGUAACAUGUCAAAAUGUGGAAAAGGGGAAGGUGUCUGAAUACUUUCCAAAUGCACUGUAUGCCCCUUCGUGAGAUGGGUGUUUUUCCCCAAGUGUGUGCUGUGCCCGGCCAGAACCUUGGACACUUACAUUACACAGGCAAUACGACAGUCUGAUUGGCUAUUCGUUUUCUAUAGUGAGAGAGUUCUGGGACAGAGCCUACAGAGCCUAAAGACUCACAUUGGAUUGUGGACAUUAUUACUGCAGUAUAUUGGCUGGACAGCCAGCCUCUGACCUCUGUUGUAGUAGCGUAUUCUAUUAGAGGAGUAGCUACAUGGUGGGCCCUGCUCUGAGGAGUUUCCCCUCAAUUACAUUUUCGCCUCGGCCAGUUUGGCAUCGUAUAGCACUUUUUCUAGGUACAAUUGAGUCAAUGUUACCCCCGCCAAUAAGGUUGGGACGGCUGUGCUGGGUGUUGCCUCCUCUUCCCUGAGUGGGGACGGAGGGACACAGCAACUAUGACUGCCCUGAGCUCAGUUCAAAUCAGAUCAAAUCAAAUGUAUUUAUAUAGCCCUUCGUACAUCAGCUGAUAUCUCAAAGUGCUGUACAGAAACCCAGCCUAAAACCCCAAACAGCAAGCAAUGCAGGUGUAGAAGCACGGUGGCUAGGAAAAACUCCCUAGAAAGGCCAAAACCUAGGAAGAAACCUAGAGAGGAACCAGGCUAUGUGGGGUGGCCAGUCCUCUUCUGGCUGUGCCGGGUGGAGAUUAUAACAGAACAUGGCCAAGAUGUUCAAAUGUUUAUAAAUGACCAGCAUGGUCCAAUAAUAAUAAGGUAGAACAGUUGAAACUGGGGCAGCAGCACGGUCAGGUGGACUGGGGACAGCAAGGAGUCAUCAUGUCAGGUAGUCCUGGGGCAUGGUCCUAGGGCUCAGGUCCUCCGAGAGAGAGAAAGAAAGAGGAGGAGAGAAUUAGAGAACGCACACUUAGAUUCACACAGGACACCGAAUAGGACAGGAGAAGUACUCCAGAUAUAACAAACUGACCCUAGCCCCCCAACACAAACUACUGCAGCAUAAAUACUGGAGGCUGAGACAGGAGGGGUCAGGAGACACUGUGGCCCCAUCCGAGGACACCCCCGGACAGGGCCAAACAGGAAGGAUAUAACCCCACCCACUUUGCCAAAGCACAGCCCCAGUUCUAUGGGACUUUGUUCUCUGUCUGGCCCUUACAUAGUUUACAGAUUAAACUUGUAUUGUGAUACCAUAUUGGAGUGAUCCAAUAUAGUGCUACAUAACGAAGGUUAAAUAUGUAACUGUCAUGAGAAUUUUCAAUCCCAAUGAUAAUAACUGACAAUCAAUAGCUUUGACCAAUCCCUGAGAUCUGUAAGACCAUGGGUUUAACAAUAAUUAGUCAAAGACUCAGCUUAUGCAAAAAGAUAGUACAGUUUAUUCAGAGAACGUUCUAAAGUCCAUUAUACAAAGACAUCCAUUUUAUAGAUGCGCACAUACUUCCACACAAACAUUAGGUAUCCUACGCACAUACUUCCACACAAACAGUAGGUAUCCUACGCACAUACUUCCACACAAACAGUAGGUAUCCUACGCACAUACUUCCACACAAACAGUAGAUAUCCUACGCACAUACUUCCACACAAACAGUAGGUAUCUUACGCACAUAUUUCCACACAAACAGUAGGUAUCCUACGCACAUACUUCCACACAAACAGUAGGUAUCCUACGCACAUACUUCCACACAAACAGUAGGUAUCCUACGCACAUACUUCCACACAAACAGUAGGUAUCCUACGCACAUACUUCCACACAAACAGUAGGUAUCCUACGCACAUACUUCCACACAAACAGUAGGUAUCCUACGCACAUACUUCCACACAAACAGUAGGUAUCCUACGCACAUACUUCCACACAAACAGUAGGUAUCCUACGCACAUACUUCCACACAAACAGUAGGUAUCCUACGCACAUACUUCCACACAAACAGUAGGUAUCCUACGCACAUACUUCCACACAAACAGUAGGUAUCCUACGCACAUACUUCCACACAGACAGUAGGUAUCCUACGCACAUACUUCCACACAAACAGUAGGUAUCCUACGCACAUACUUCCACACAAACAGUAGGUAUCCUACGCACAUACUUCCACACAAACAGUAGGUAUCCUACGCACAAACUUCCACACAAUCAGUAGGUGCGUUUUAUCUCCAUAGUUCUCACCACUGUGUGUCACUGCCUAGCCGACAGUUCCAUUCCCCUGAGAUGAGGGAAACCUUGAGAAGUACUCCCUGUCCUCAUAAGUUUCUCCAUAGUUCUCACCACUGUGUAUCACUACCCAGCCGACAGUUCCAUUCCCCCGAGAUUAGGGAAACCUUGAGAAGUACUCCCUGUGCUCUCAUAGGUUCCUCAGAGUUCCUGCCAGGUCGGUCCAAACACAGUUGAACUGUUCUCUGUAUUUUCUUCGGCACACACACAAGUUCAAAUCCUGAGCUACGCCUUGCUUAGACAGUCUGUGUUUUUCCACUAUACAGAUACAUUGUUUAACCUAAUUCCGGCAAAAACUACACACAUCAUCGGAUUAUAAUUUUAUGAUUCUAAUCAAUUUCAUACAGUUAUAAGGUUUCAGAGUGGAAUUAUGUAAUCAUUAUCUUUCAACAUUAAAAUUAUUUUAUCAGUAACCACGGUUAUGUCUGCUACCGGAUCACUCCAAUCCUCUUUGUCGGUGAUCUAUGGCACCUCGAAAA